CUCAGGAAGCACAUCCUGAAGGUGAUCCCGAACUUCUGGAUGAUUCUGAAUUUUACCAACAGUUGCUUAAGGAAUUUUUUGAGACCGUUGACCCAACAUCAUCUGAGACAGCCUUUUAUGCCUUAAAAAGACUGCAAACUAAGAAGAG